ACAAAAGGAAAAGGAAGGAAAUGAAGGUGAUGUAGUUGUGUCUUUUCUUUUCCCUUUUUUCUUUGGUCUUUU
rnacentral:ribozyme from 1 species